UGUUACGUUUAGUUUUGCUGAGUCAUACAUAUGUUAGAAUAGUAGUACGAAUACUCUGUAAGUUGAUAACCAAACCAAAAAUAAAACCAUCGGGACGUAAGUCGCAGUUAGAGAACCUCUGAAAUGCUCAACCAGUCAACAAGGCGACAGCUGCACCGUUUACUUAGUCGCAAGCGAGAAACACACACACGCUUGGCUACCCGCACAGCAGAGCAACGUUCAUCAUCAGCAAUCAGCCCAUCAUUGAUCAGUGCAAACGCGGCAACGUGCGGGCCACACCACCAUCGAGCAUCGAGUCUUCGGGCGAGCGUAUGAAGAGGGAGAAAGCAUCAGUUGAAAACCCCGACCGGUACUCGUACAAUGAUCGGCGGAACAAAGCGGUCUUGCGUUUUGCAAAAGAUCAGUUGGUGUCGUGUUAACCCCCGGUGCAGUUCAGUGCGCGCAAUUGGCAUCGUCUCAGCGUUCAUCCUUGAGGCCGGACGGACAAAGAGAAGUUAAUUUCAACAGCUUGCGGUCAAACCGAUUCCCAGUUUAGGGAAGCCAGACGUCGUCUGGACAGAUCUAGAAUCCGUUUUGGUGGAGGGACAGACUACGUGAGCACAGUCAGAGACGCCAACGCUGCACACACGCACGGAGGGACGAAAACCGCUAGAGGAAAAACGUGGUAGCAAACGUGGUUUUGGCAUUCACGGACCGUGCUCGCAGAAAAGAUCCCAAAAUCAGCUACUUCGGCUUCCAGGGAAGCAAAUGCACUACGGGAAGUGACGGCCGGAUCGAAACCGAACAGGCCAGGACCGGCAUUGUAGAUUUGGUCGGUCAAUAAACAUUCGCUGGAAGGCAUCGGGAAAAAGCAGGUGAGCCAAACUUCAUCAGAAUCGUGUUGAAUUGCCCAAAUUGAUUCCUCAUUUAUGGGACAGGCACGACGACCAUUACGCUAAGGAGAGCGUACGCGCAACCAACACGGCCAACUGGCCAAAGAGCGAUAGCAGCAACGGGACAGAAAAGAGCUCCUUAAAAGGGUAAGGCGCCUAGGAAAGAUCUGCGGCGACACGUUAAUAACGCCCGACCAUCCGCAGGGCUCUUUUUUACUUGCAGUCUUUGGGCACUCGUGACUCUCAAUCGGAGGUCAAGCGCUGAACACCGGGUCGCAUUCCGCGGAGCAUUUACGAGCACGAGGCGGUAGCAGAGAGGAGAGGUCAUCGUCCGGCUGGGAGCGAAUUCUACACCCCACGGCCGAGGAGGAACGAAUAGGAUCCGUGGUAUUCGAAGGCUUGGUUUUGAGGAACAGUAGCGACCGGUAGAACCUCGAACCGGUGCAUGCCCACCAAGCAUGAGCAGCGAUGGACCGAUCUCCAGCACCCAACGAGCAUCUGCGAUCAUCCGUUCAGGAGAGGUCCGUGGUUUCUGCAAAGCGGCGCCGAUGGUAACCGUGAGUCAAACCCAUUGUAAACGCUUAGACUAAGUUGACUAGGAUAGGAGAGCUAGGAACACAGAGUAGGCGACAUGUUAAGCAAAACCCUAUAAUACAUGUUUGAAGAAUGAGAUUUUC